ACCUGGCUGGCUUAGUUGGAAGAGUGUGAGACUCAUGAUCUUGGGAUUGUGGGUUUGAGUCCCCUUUUGGGUG
rnacentral:tRNA from 1 species